rnacentral:lncRNA from 1 species
AUCUGUAUGAUUUACAGAAGUCUCCUUUAUACGAACAUGGAAUUGUUUUCUGCUACAGUUUUCCUCUCAGAUGCCUUGGGAUUGUUAUUCUUAACUGGCUGGACUCUUGCCUUUCUCCCUACGCUUCCCGGGAAGUGCUGUGCCUCGGGGCAUGCGCACGGCGAGUGACAGAGCCGGGGCACGUGGAGCGCUGGGAGCGCUGCCGCCCGCGUCUGGAGGCUCGAAAAGCAGGAAGGGUCCUGUGCAAAGACCUAGUGGGUACUGCUGCCAUCGCCUUGAUAACAUUGCACUCAUGGAAUCAUGCCUGCAGUUGAAGAGCAUUCAGUUUUGCUGAAGGUAUUGAUAAUUUUAGUUGUUAAUAAUUAUAUCUUCUAAAGCAAGACUUGCAGACUUUUCCAUGAUCUCUAAGUUCAGGGAACUUGAAGAGGCUUCUUUGGUGUACUAAGGCUUUUAUCACUUGUGGGUUGUGUACUCCAGCUUGAAAUCAAUUAUGUAGGUUGUAGAACACAGUUGUUAGCACUCUGUACAAAUUGGGGUAUAUUCUAAGAAAACAAAUGAAUGCUUAAUAUUAGAUAAGGCUGUAGCUUCUAUUAUAAUUGGGAAUCAGGUUGCUUUUCUUUAGUGCAAUGGCAAUUUCAGCUGAUGGUAUGUGAUUGAUCAGUAUCCUGUAAUACAAAGGUGAUCAGCCUUCUUGACUAGAAGCUAUUCAUUUUACCACCAAUAGUUGUAUUUUCUGGCAAUUCCUGGAACCCAGUUUGGGAUUAUGGCCUAGUGAGAGCAAGCCUCCCUUAGUCAUGCAGUGCUGGAAUGUUAAAAUCUUCAGCUUUUCCUUCUCAGUAAUUGCGUUGAUAGCACAUGUGACCUUUUAAAGGCAGUUUUAUAAAUUUGAAAACUUACCAAGUGGACUAACUUCACAGUACUUGUGAGCAUGUCAGUGUUCGAUGUUGGGAGCUUUUCUAUGAGAAGAGUCCAGACUGUAGCUUCUCCUUAAGUUUAUCUUACUUAAAACAUCAUAAUAUAGAGACGCUAAUUUUUACUUUGUUGCUGUGACUGAAAUUAAAUGUUUUGAUACUUUCUCAUUUCAGGUACCUCAGAAUUGACUUCUUCUUAAUACAGUGACCAUACAGGGUCAAAGAAAAAUGGUCUGCUUCUCAAUAUUUGAGUUUGUUGUCUAUAACAGCAUGGUUUUCUGUGAAAAGUGAAAGAAGAAUCUUUCUAGACAGUUUAAAGC